CCUACGGGUGGCUGCAGUGAGGAAUAUUGGUCAAUGGGCGCGAGCCUGAACCAGCCAAGUAGCGUGAAGGAUGACUGCCCUACGGGUUGUAACCUUCUUUUAUAAAGGAAUAAAGUGAGGCACGUGUGCCUUUUUGUAUUUACUUUAUGAAUAAGGAUCGGCUAACUCCGUGCCAUCGACCGCGGUAAUACGGAGGAUCCGAGCGUUAUCCGGAUUUAUUGGGUUUAAAGGUAGCGUAGAUGGGUUGUUAAGUCAGUUUUGAAAGUUUGCGGCUCAACCAUAAAAUUGCAAUUGAUACUGGCAGCCUUGAGUACAGUUGAGGUAGGCGGAAUGCGUGGUGUAGCGGUGAAAUGCUUAGAUAUCACGAAGAACUCCGAUUGCGAAGGCAGCUUACUAAACUGCCACUGACAUUGAUGCUCGAAAGUGUGGGUAUCAAACAGGAUUAGAUACCCCUGUAGUC
rnacentral:rRNA from 1 species